UACGUAGGAUGCGAGCGUUAUCCGGAUUUAUUGGGUUUAAAGGGUGCGUAGGCGGGAUGCCAAGUCAGCGGUAAAAAUGCGGUGCUCAACGCCGUCGAGCCGUUGAAACUGGCGUUCUUGAGUGGGCGAGAAGUAUGCGGAAUGCGUGGUGUAGCGGUGAAAUGCAUAGAUAUCACGCAGAACUCCGAUUGCGAAGGCAGCAUACCGGCGCCCUAUUGACGCUGAGGCACGAAAGCGUGGGUAUCGAACAGG
rnacentral:rRNA from 1 species